rnacentral:pre_miRNA from 1 species
ACUGUAAUUGCUGGAUCAUACAGUAAGAAUAUGUUUAGUUUUGUAAGAAACUGCCAAAAUGUCUUCCAAAGUAGAUAUACCAAUUUGCAUUCCCACAAGCAAU